UUCCGGUUGAUCCUGCCGGACCUGACUGCUAUCGGAUUGAUACUAAGCCAUGCGAGUCUUUGCAGUAAUGCAAGGCAUACGGCUCAGUAACACGUAGUCAACUUACCCUAUGGACGAGGAUAAUCUCGGGAAACUGAGCAUAAUACUCGAUAGAUCAUAAUGCCUGGAAUGGUUUAUGGUUGAAAUGAUUCGUCGCCAUAGGAUGGGACUGCGGCCUAUCAGCUUGUUGGUGAGGUAAUGGCCCACCAAGGCGAUUACAGGUACGGGCUCUGAGAGGAGAAGCCCGGAGAUGGGUACUGAGACAAGGACCCAGGCCCUAUGGGGCGCAGCAGGCGAGAAAACUUUGCAAUGUGCGAAAGCACGACAAGGUUAAUCCGAGUGAUUUCUGCUAAAGAAAUCUUUUGUUAGUCCUAGAAACACUAACGAAUAAGGGGUGGGCAAGUUCUGGUGUCAGCCGCCGCGGUAAAACCAGCACCUCAAGUGGUCAGGAUGAUUAUUGGGCCUAAAGCAUCCGUAGCCGGCUCUGUAAGUUUUCGGUUAAAUCUGUACGCUUAACGUACAGGCCGCCGGGAAUACUGCAAAGCUAGGGAGUGGGAGAAGUAGACGGUACUCGGUAGGAAGUGGUAAAAUGCUUUGAUCUAUCGAUGACCACCUGUGGCGAAGGCGGUCUACUAGAACACGUCCGACGGUGAGGGAUGAAAGCUGGGGGAGCAAACCGGAUUAGAUACCCGGGUAGUCCCAGCUGUAAACUAUGCAAACUCAGUGAUGCAUUGGCUUGUGGCCAAUGCAGUGCUGCAGGGAAGCCGUUAAGUUUGCCGCCUGGGAAGUACGUACGCAAGUAUGAAACUUAAAGGAAUUGGCGGGGGAGCACCACAAGGGGUGAAGCCUGCGGUUCAAUUGGAGUCAACGCCGG
rnacentral:rRNA from 1 species